ACCUUCCGCGUCACGCGCGAUAAAAGAUAAGAGAGGAAGCUGAAGGUAGGCAGGCAGGCAGCGGUGAGGAAGCAGCAGCCCCGAAAGCGGAAAGAGUCUACUUACCGGCCAUUUCGGACACCGGAUUUUUUCAACUCUUUAUAAUAAACGUACUUCAACCGAAACUACCUUGUAUAGUAAAGAGAAAAAUUAUUUAAAAUAAAACCGAUGUUAGCGGAUCCCUGUUACAUAUUAAACUUAACACGAAAUAUUCAACUUUGUUCAAUGGCGGAACUCACGAGUGCAUAACAACUAUCGCGUGAGUGACGUCAUGC
rnacentral:misc_RNA from 1 species